UGGUGGAGUGAUUUGUCUGCUUAAUUGCGAUAACGAACGAGACCUUAACCUGCUAAAUAGCCAGGCUACCUUUGGCUGGUCGCCGGCUUCUUAGAGGGACUAUCGGCUCAAGCCGAUGGAAGUUUGAGGCAAUAACA
rnacentral:rRNA from 1 species